UACGUAGGGGUCGAGCGUUGUCCGGAUUUAUUGGGCGUAAAGAGCUCGUAGGCGGUUCGAUAAGUCGGACGUGAAAUCUCCACGCUCAACGUGGAGGGGCCGUUCGAUACUGUCGUGACUCGAGUCCGGUAGGGGAGUGUGGAAUUCCCGGUGUAGCGGUGAAAUGCGCAGAGAUCGGGAGGAACACCCGUAGCGAAGGCGGCACUCUGGGCCGGUACUGACGCUGAGGAGCGAAAGCGUGGGGAGCAAACGGG
rnacentral:rRNA from 1 species